ACAAGCGGUGGAGCAUGUGGUUUAAUCGAAGCAACGCGAAGAACCUUACCAGGUCUUGACAUCCCGAUGCUAUUUCUAGAGAUAGAAAGUUACUUCGGUACAUCGGUGACAGGUGGUGCAUGGUUGUCGUCAGCUCGUGUCGUGAGAUGUUGGGUUAAGUCCCGCAACGAGCGCAACCCCUAUUGUUAGUUGCCAUCAUUCAGUUGGGCACUCUAGCGAGACUGCCGGUAAUAAACCGGAGGAAGGUGGGGAUGACGUCAAAUCAUCAUGCCCCUUAUGACCUGGGCUACACGCGUGCUACAAUGGUUGGUACAACGAGUUGCGAGUCGGUGACGGCGAGCUAAUCUCUUAAAGCCAAUCUCAGUUCGGAUUGUAGGCUGCAACUCGCCUACAUGAAGUCGGAAUCGCUAGUAAUCGCGGAUCAGCACGCCGCGGUGAAUACGUUCCCGGGCCUU
rnacentral:rRNA from 1 species